AGAGUUUGAUCAUGGCUCAGAUUGAACGCUGGCGGAAUGCUUUACACAUGCAAGUCGAACGGCAGCACGGGGCAACCUGGUGGCGAGUGGCGAACGGGUGAGUAAUACAUCGGAACGUGCCCAAUCGUGGGGAUAACGUAGCGAAAGUUACGCUAAUACCGCAUACGAUCUACGGAUGAAAGCGGGGGAUCGCAAGACCUCGCGCGAGUGGAGCGGCCGAUGUCAGAUUAGGUAGUUGGUGGGGUAAAGGCUCACCAAGCCAACGAUCUGUAGCUGGUCUGAGAGGACGACCAGCCACACUGGAACUGAGACACGGUCCAGACUCCUACGGGAGGCAGCAGUGGGGAACUUUGGACAAUGGGCGCAAGCCUGAUCCAGCCAUUCCGCGUGCAGGAUGAAGGCCUUCGGGUUGUAAACUGCUUUUGUACGGAACGAAACGGCGAGCUCUAAUACAGUUUGCUAAUGACGGUACCGUAAGAAUAAGCACCGGCUAACUACGUG
rnacentral:rRNA from 1 species